UCCUGGCUCAGGAUGAACGCUAGCUACAGGCUUAACACAUGCAAGUCGAGGGGCAGCAUGAUCUUAGCUUGCUAAGAUUGAUGGCGACCGGCGCACGGGUGAGUAACACGUAUCCAACCUGCCGUCUACUUGGGGAUAGCCUUCUGAAAGGAAGAUUAAUACCCGAUGCGAUCUGUCGGCCGCAUGGCUGAUGGAUGAAAGAUUGAUUGGUAGACGAUGGGGAUGCGUUCCAUUAGGUUGUUGGCGGGGUAACGGCCCACCAAGCCGACGAUGGAUAGGGGUUCUGAGAGGAAGGUCCCCCACAUUGGAACUGAGACACGGUCCAAACUCCUACGGGAGGCAGCAGUGAGGAAUAUUGGUCAAUGGACGAGAGUCUGAACCAGCCAAGUAGCGUGAAGGAUGACUGCCCUAUGGGUUGUAAACUUCUUUUAUACGGGAAUAAAGUGCACCACGUGUGGUGUUUUGUAUGUACCGUUAUGAAUAAGCAUCGGCUAACUCCGUGCCAGCAGCCGCGGUAAUACGGAGGAUGCGAGCGUUAUCCGGAUUUAUUGGGUUUAAAGGGUGCGCAGGCGGAAGAUUAAGCCGGCGGUAAAAAUUCCGGGCUCAACCCGGUCGAGCCGUCGGAACUGGUUUUCUAGAGUGGGCGAGAAGUAUGCGGAAUGCGUGGUGUAGCGGUGAAAUGCAUAGAUAUCACGCAGAACGCCGAUUGCGAAGGCAGCAUACCGGCGCCCUACUGACGCUGAGGCACGAAAGCGUGGGGAUCGAACAGGAUGAGAUACCCUGGUAGUCCACGCAGUAAACGAUGAGCGCUAACUGUCCGGGCAAAAAUGAUGCCUGGGUGGUACAGUGAAAACGUUAAGCGCUCCACCUGGGGAGUACGCCGGCAACGGUGAAACUCAAAGGAAUUGACGGGGGCCCGCACAAGCGGAGGAACAUGUGGUUUAAUUCGAUGAUACGCGAGGAACCUUACCCGGGCUCAAACGUAGGAUGCAUGUCUUUGAAAGGAGGCAGUUCCUUGGAACAUCCUGCGAGGUGCUGCAUGGUUGUCGCCAGCUCGUGCCGUGAGGUGUCGGCUUAAGUGCCAUAACGAGCGCAACCCCCAUCGCCAGUUGCUAACAGGUAAUGCUGAGGACUCUGGCGAGACUGCCGGCGCAAGCUGCGAGGAAGGCGGGGAUGACGUCAAAUCAGCACGGCCCUUACGUCCGGGGCGACACACGUGUUACAAUGGCAGGUACAGAGAGAAGCCAUCCCGCGAGGGAGAGCGGAACUUCAAAGCCUGUCUCAGUUCGGAUUGGAGUCUGCAACCCGACUCCAUGAAGCUGGAUUCGCUAGUAAUCGCGCAUCAGCCACGGCGCGGUGAAUACGUAAGGGGGCCUUGUACACACCGCCCGUCA
rnacentral:rRNA from 1 species